rnacentral:rRNA from 1 species
UGGGGAAUUUUGGACAAUGGGUGAAACCCUGAUCCAGCCAUCCCGCGUGUGCGAUGAAGGCCUUCGGGUUGUAAAGCACUUUUGGCAGGAAAGAAACGUCAUGGGUUAAUACCCCGUGAAACUGACGGUACCUGCAGAAUAAGCACCGGCUAACUACGUGCCAGCAGCCGCGGUAAUACGUAGGGUGCAAGCGUUAAUCGGAAUUACUGGGCGUAAAGCGUGCGCAGGCGGUUCGGAAAGAAAGAUGUGAAAUCCCAGAGCUCAACUUUGGAACUGCAUUUUUAACUACCGGGCUAGAGUGUGUCAGAGGGAGGUGGAAUUCCGCGUGUGGCAGUGAAAUGCGUAGAUAUGCGGAGGAACACCGAUGGCGAAGGCAGCCUCCUGGGAUAACACUGACGCUCAUGCACGAAAGCGUGGGGAGCAAACAGG